ensembl:lncRNA
AUGCUUUGGUUGCCCAGAGGGACAGCAGAGAAGGGGAACCCUCGGUGUUUUCCCAUCCCAAGUCCGCUACAGCCCAGGAAAAUCCCCAGUUUUUGCUGCUUUAAGAACACCGAGUCUGGAGAAGCCAAAACCGAAUAGUUCCAGCAGAACCCGAUGAAGAAAACCGUCUUCCCUGAAGGUUUGCCCUUUCUGUUGGUGGGUGAAAUGCUCUGACUGGUCCUGCCUCUCCGUGACUCUCGGCGAGAUGCCGCUGGCUUCACCUCUCCACCCCAGCACUAACGAACCCACGGGUUAAUAUUUAUUAGGGGCCAGGGAGUGUGCCAACACGUGCGGCCCCAGUGAUUUUGGGGGCACCGCAGAUCCUUCUGCCCCCUCAUUUCUUCCCGUUACCGCCCAGUGAUCACAGGGGACCUGGCCCCGGUUGGGACGGACCCGAGCCAGCCCCAGCAGCUUGCUCUGAGCCUUCGGGAGAUUUUUUCUUUGCCAGACUCUGCUAAAAUUGAGCAAUCCCUCGGCGCUCGCCGCCUGCCCCGGUCCCGGCGCUGGAGCGGCUCUCAGGCGCCUUUCUGCACAGCGCUGCCCCCGCCGCGCUUUAGCUGCUCAUUCAAGCGGCGUUUCCUCUUUCCUCAUCUCUUUUUAAGGGUAUUUCACCCAAUUUUGGCUCACAUGUGCUCUUCAUGCAGCUGUAAGCGGCUUCACCACCCCUUCACGUGCUGGGUGGGCAGCGGGACUCGGACGCUGCAGGCGUCAUCGCCAAAGCAACCCCGAGAUAAGAGGACUAGGGCACUGUUUUUGCCUUUCUUCUCCAUUUUUACCGUUCCCAUUUAGGCUCGCGGGCUGAGAAGGGAAAGCUUCUGCUUUAGCAGAGCCAUCGGUGCUCAGAAAGCAAGGUGCCAGCACCGGGUGCUGGAGAUUUUUGAUGGCGCAGCCCAAAAAUGGGGGCUCAGCCUCACGCCUUGGGUUUUGGCGGCCUCACGAGCGGGGGUUUGGGUGCAGCAGCGCUGCUGGGGACGGGGCAGAGCUCAGCGCUGCGGCCAGCGACGGAGAGACAUGGGAUAAGGGUCAGUGCCCGGCCUGCAUGCUCCCAUCUUGGGUGCUCAGAUCUCAAAUGCUGGGAAGCUCAGAGACUUGGAUCUUGGGUGCUCAGGUGCUCCGAUCUCAGAUCUCGGGUGCUGGGAAGUUCGGAUGCUUGGAUUUCGGAUGCUCAGAUCUCGGCUGUUUGGAUUCUUGGAAGCUCAGAUGCUCAGGUCUUGGAUGCUUGGAUGCUGGGAAGCUCAGAUCUUGGAUCUCAGAUGCUCAGAUCUCGGAUGCUGGGAAGCUCAGAUGCUUGGGUCUCGGAUGCUCAGAUCUUGGAUAUUCGGAUUCUUGGAAGCUCAGAUCUCAGAUGCUCGGACGCUGGGAAGCUCAGAUCUCAGAUAUUCGGAUUCUUGGAAGCUCAGAUGCUCAAAUCUUGGAUGCUUGGAUGCUGGGAAGCUCAGAUCUCGGAUCUCAGAUGCUCGGAUCUCGGAUAUUUGGAUUCUUGGAAGCUCAGAUGCUCAGAUCUCAGAUGCUCAGACGCUGGGAAGCUCAGAUCUUGGAUAUUCGGAUUCUUGGAAGCUCAGAUGCUCAGAUCUCAGAUGCUCGGACGCUGGGAAGCUCAGAUCUUGGAUCUCAGACGCUCGGAUCUCAGCUCUCGGAUGCUCAGAUGCAGGGCAGAAGUUGGCCACCUCUGGGAAGGGGAAUCAAAAACCUCAUUUGCUUGCAAACGCAAAAUCACCCGUGGUUUUCCUCCGCACAGGCAGCCCGGCUGGCUCACCCUGUCCCAGGCAGCCGGGAUGGGCAGGAUGCGGCCCCCACAGCCCCCACCCGCCCGGCAGCAGGGUGGCACCGAGGGCAGCUGGGUGCUGGGGUGCUGCCGGCAGCGCCCGUGGGCAGGAGGACGCCGGAGAACAACCCACGGGGGAGGAACUGGCACCUCCCCGGGCGGUUUUUGCUGCCAUGGGGCAUUUUCGGGGCCGGAGCUGCACGGGGGCAGCGGCCCGGCUCAAAGGUCCCGCGGAGCCCCCGGGGGCUCCUCCAAGUUCAUCAGCCGAGCAAAUCAUUAACGCUCGCCGCAGCUGCUGCGCCCGGGGACCUUCGGACCGCGGCGGGGCCGCAGCGCGCGCGGGAGGGCGCGAGCACCUCUGUGCGCUCGCACGCGCACGUGCAAGCCCCACGUUUGGGCACACGCGUGGCGGCGUCCCCCGCCCCCCGCACGGUCCCAAAUCCUGCCCCAAACGUGGGGGGGCUGCCAAAAGGUCUCUGCUGCACCCCCAGGAGCCCCCCCCCCAAGGAGCAGGGAGGUGGCAGCCGGCACCCAGCACCUGCGGCGCUGGGCGUGCGAGGGGCACGCGGGGGUGGCAGAAAGCCACGGCCGCCUGUCCCCUGCCCCGUCCGUGUCCCCACGCCGUGCCCUACCUGCUGGCUGUGCUGCUCCCCCCUCGCUGGGGCCUGGCUCCGAGAGCUUCACCUGCGGCAGAAACAAACGGGCACUGGUGCACCACCCCAGACACUCGUGCGUCCCCCUGCGCACUCCUGCGUC